rnacentral:lncRNA from 1 species
CUUGGUACAAAUUUCAAUAGAUUAAAGUAAAAUAAUAAUUUUUAUGAUACUUGGUUUUAUGUCUUUGAAAUUUUUGCAUAAAAUCCUUUAGGAUAUUUGCGCUUCAUUAAAUACUUUAAAAUGGUGGUUCAACUGAAAAUAAGACAUUCAUGAAAAUUAGUACUGUGUCAAUAAUAGUAAAUCCACAGUAUAUGAUUGCUACGGUUUUAAGAAAAGGACUGGUAUUGUUUGGUAAAACAUGACCAGAAGACAAAGAUUUAAACAACUAUGGUUCACCCUUAAACAAAUAGCAAAACCCAUACAUGACUGUUAGUUUGACAAAAUAUCAUGAACGAUAAAAAUUUCAUUUUAUACAACUUGAACACUCCCAAGCUUUACUUUAAGCACAAAACUAUUUCCAAUCUCACAUGUAUAGCACUUAAUAAGAAACUAUAUUAGAAACUGUGUGUGUGUAUUGUCGAUACUUACUCCUACAACAGAGCAAAAGGACAAAAAGGUUUCUAUGAAAUAAUUUUGUAUGUUAGUGGUCUAAAUUGACAAGAUUCAUGUACCGUAUAUUUUCGAAUUUAAAGCGCAUCGUUUUAUAAGCCGCACGGCCGUUUUUAGGGGGGAAGAUUGUUUUUGUCCUUACAUAAAACGCACCUGAAUAUUAAGCGCACACUGAAGAAAACGUAUAUUUAUUCUACUGACCUGAUAGUGUCAUGAAUAUUUUCUCCUUUUGUAACUCACACCGUAAUUUGUUU